rnacentral:lncRNA from 1 species
UAAGGCACUGAAGUGUACCCUUUAAGCCAGGGAGGGACAGGGCCACACUUCCAGUGCUAACAAUUGGGUUUCUCUCUGAGAAUGAAGUCUGCAAUCCGUCACAUCAGAACAGGAAGAGAGGAUUUGAGGGAGAACCCCUUCUCAGAUCUCCAGAGUGUGGAAGGGGCGUUUUGGUGCUGGCUAUGGCUUUGUAACACUGCAGUUGAAACGGGCAAAGU